GAAGGUCAUGGGUGUGGGGACACGGGGAGCAUCCUCUCUGAGCUGCACACGGCAUACAUAAGCGAAAGCCCCAGUUGGGAAGCAGGUAGCUGGGAAGUGGGUAACGUUUUGCAGAGGAAAAGAGGCCAGCACAGGCAGUUGGUAAACAGUGAUACAUGGUGCCCAGGAGAUUCUUGACCAGCAGUAUGACUUUCUCUUGUCAUUUUUUCAAACUUUAUCUCCUAAACAAUUAAACCAUGCCUGGGUUUUUUCCUAUUUUUAGAAUUAUCAAGGAAAAGAAAGUUUAACCCUGGCCAGCAGUGUGUUUCCAGUGUUUUAACAAAUUGCAUUAUUGGAAAUUUUUAUGUCUUAUCCAAAUGUUUUUGACUACCAUUUCAGAUGUUUCUUCCUAGUGAAUCCUCACUAGCAAUGAAAAACAGCUGACUGUGGGCACUACCCUUUUCCUAUUAUAGAAUCAUGGGACUGGAAGGGACUUCAAAGACAUCGGCAGAAUACUUGGAGUAUAACGAAUCUAAGUUAAUUAUAGUUUACAGAUGAGUAUGAAUUUGGACUAAAAUAACUAUCACCUCUAGAGGGCAGCAAUAACAUUUUAUUUGCAGAUGUUUUAAGCAUGGGCAGAUUGCACAUCAGUGAGCUUUUAACCUCCUCAGAGUGUAUCCUGCCCAAAUAGGAGCUUCUGAAAAUCCCAGUGGGGACAUUUGCUCUUCCCAGGCUGCUGUAUAAACUCCUGCUCUCCAAACACUGUCUCUUCAGAGCUGUACCAGCUGCAGCUUCCCUGACUACAAGUUCUUGGUAGGAUUGCCCACGUGUGAUUUCUUACUUUAGCUGCAGAAGACCACCCACUCUAGUCAUUUCCUCUUUCUGUAGAAGUUAUUUAAUGUUCCCAAAGAAUUCGUCACUCUCCCAGCAGCUCCAUAACAACUGCUCUUGCUCAUCAGUGUGCAUGACCGCGGCCAGAGGGAGGCCUGGCCCAGUCCCCCAAGUCUGUCACCAGGGAAAAGGUAUCCUUCUUUGUUCCUUCUUAUUUUAUUAUCAGAAAAUGUCUUUACCAGCCCGUUCUUGGACCUAUCUGUGCUAUAUGCAGAUUUCUGUUUUUAUCCUGUCUUUCUUCAACUUUCACCUUGUGUUUCAGUCCAUGGCAAGCGUGUCACAGAGUCCUCAGGUCAAGGCCCCCAGCUCCUUACCUCAUUGUAGCCCCUGUGCUCCUGAUUCACAGACAUGUCUGGUAGCUGUGUGGUUUCCCCUUGACUUUCUCAUUUCUCUCUUCUUGUCUAACCAUUUCCCUCACUUUCCGUGGAAGUUAGUGUUUAUCCCUGCUCUGCAGACUCUGACACUUUCCAAAAGACCCGUUUCUAAGCUCUUCUUGCAAACCAGCUUCCUCUCGGAGAUGCAUUUUUCUCCUUUGUUAAGUAAGCACAUUCCAUGCUCCGAAGGCCCUUUUUCUGCAGGAAGGCAAGAAUGGGAACAUCUGUCCACAAGGCCCUCAGGGCCACUCAGCCUUAGCAGCAGGGACAGAGCCGCAUCCUCCCUCCAUUCAGCUCCAGGAACAAGAACUAGCCAGGGUUGUCUCCAGCACACUCCAGAACAAACCAGCUUUGCACCUUGUAAGUAGCUGCUCAUACUGGGAAGAAGAGGAACAUGGUGUGGAACGAGCCCUGGGCUGUUGCCUGCUCUGUCCCUGACCGAGGGAAUCCUUGUCACUCUGUCAGUGAAAGGGAAGGGAAACCAAACGUGACUGUUAGAUAGGUUCCUUCCAGCUCUGUGAUAAUAAACCAAGGCCUUUUAAGAAUUUUCUCCUCAGAGUUACCAUCAUAAAGCUUUGUGCCAAGGGGCUGGGGAUGUAGCUCAGCGGCAAAAGCGCCUGCCUGGCAAGCGCAAGGUUGUGAGUUCGGUUCCCGGUACCAGAGAAAAACCAAAAAAACAAACAAACAAACAAAAUAAUAAUAAAGCUUUGUGCCCGUAAUGGGCUAGUUUUUCAUGAAUACCUUUUGGAUAGUUGAAAGACAAGUGAAAAACAACUCUGUCUGAAGACUGAGGAAUGUUCAGAUGCGUCUAUUUUCACACAUCUGGGAGUCCUCAGUGAAGUGGCUGUGAUAGUAGUAGUGACUCAGGGUUGUGAUGAUUAGUUGAGAUCAUGCGGUUGAGCCCUUGGACUGGUGCCUGGCACCUGGUAGGUGCUUCUUUCGCAGCAGCUGUUUUUCCUGCUACUCUUCUGUUAACAGCCGCCCCUUCCUGAGCACUACUCUGUGCCCGUUUCCCAGCUGCGGACCACUCACUGCCUGGGAAAUUCACACGGCCCAGCAGCUUCUCCCCUUAGAGCCCCCUGCACGCGUCCUCAGAGCUCCCUGAGAGCCGGAAGACAGCGUUGCCAGUUAUCUUUGUGACUGCCGAUUAAGCAAAACGUUGUUGAGUUUUCUACA